UGUGGGAGAGCAAUACAAGCGUUGUGCUGCUAGGCGAAGCGGUUGAGUGCCGCACCCUAGAUGGCUAAAGUCCAGUAGCCGAAAGCAUCACUAGCUUAUGCUCUGACCCGAGUAGCAUGGGGCACGUGGAAUCCCGUGUGAAUCAGUAAGGACCACCUUGCAAGGCUAAAUACUCCUGGGUGACCGAUAGCGAAGUAGUACCGUGAGGGAAAGGUGAAAAGAACCCCCAGUGGGUAGUGAAAUAGAACGUGAAACCGUGCUGAGCUCCCAAGCAGUGGGAGGGGAAAGUGAUCUCUGACC
rnacentral:ncRNA from 1 species